rnacentral:rRNA from 1 species
GACGAACGCUGGCGGCGUGCUUAACACAUGCAAGUCGAACGGAAAGGCCCUGCUUUUGUGGGGUGCUCGAGUGGCGAACGGGUGAGUAACACGUGAGUAACCUGCCCUGGACUUUGGGAUAACUGCAGGAAACUGGGGCUAAUACCGGAUAGGAGCUCCUGCUGCAUGGUGGGGGUUGGAAAGUUUCGGCGGUUGGGGAUGGACUCGCGGCUUAUCAGCUUGUUGGUGGGGUAGUGGCCUACCAAGGCUUUGACGGGUAGCCGGCCUGAGAGGGUGACCGGCCACAUUGGGACUGAGAUACGGCCCAGACUCCUACGGGAGGCAGCAGUGGGGAAUAUUGCACAAUGGGCGGAAGCCUGAUGCAGCACCGCCGCGUGCGGGAUGACGGCCUUCGGGUUGUAAACCGCUUUCGCCUGUGACGAAGCGUGAGUGACGGUAAUGGGUAAAGAAGCACCGGCUAACUACGUG